rnacentral:rRNA from 1 species
GACGAACGCUGGCGGCGUGCUUAACACAUGCAAGUCGAACGGAAAGGCCCUGCUUUUGUGGGGUGCUCGAGUGGCGAACGGGUGAGUAACACGUGAGUAACCUGCCCUUGACUUUGGGAUAACUUCAGGAAACUGGGGCUAAUACCGGAUAGGAGCUCCUGCUGCAUGGUGGGGGUUGGAAAGUUUCGGCGGUUGGGGAUGGACUCGCGGCUUAUCAGCUUGUUGGUGGGGUAGUGGCUUACCAAGGCUUUGACGGGUAGCCGGCCUGAGAGGGUGACCGGCAAGAGGGGGAGUGAGACACGGCCCAGGCGGCUGCGGGAGGCAGCAGGGGGGAGUGUGGCAACAUGGGCGGAAGGCUGAAGCAGCACCGCCGCGGGCGGGAUGAGGGCCUGAGGGUUGGAGACAGCGUUCGCCGGUGAAGAAGCGUGAGUGACGGGAAGGGGUAAAGAAGCACGGGCUAACUACGGG